AAUAUUGGACAAUGGGCACAAGCCUGAUCCAGCCAUACCGCGAGAGUGAUGAAGGCCUAAGGGUAGAAAAGCUCUUUCAGUGGGGAAGAUAAUGACGGUACCCACAGAAGAAGCCCCGGUUAACUUCGUGCCAGCAGCCGCGGUAAUACGAAGGGGGCUAGCGUUGUUCGGAUUUACUGGGCGUAAAGCGCACGUAGGCGGAUUGGUCAGUUAGGGGUGAAAUACCGGAGCUCAACUCCGGAACUGCCUUUAAUACUGCCAGUCUAGAGACCGAGAGAGGUGAGUGGAACUCCUAGUGUAGAGGUGGAAUUCGUAGAUAUUAGGAAGAACACCAGUGGCGAAGGCGGCUCACUGGCUCGGUACUGACGCUGAGGUGCGAAAGCGUGGGGAGCAAACA
rnacentral:rRNA from 1 species